GCAUGUUAGGACGCUUUGUCUGGGACAGCUCACAGUUCAUUGAUUGUCCAGAUAGCAACAUGUGUGCUCUGGCUGCCUAGAUGUGACUCUCCCUUUCAAGCCUCCAUGGGCACUCUUCCUGAAACUGCCUCUGUGGUUGAGGAGGAUCACCUUCUCAGAGAGAGGAGAAUAGUUCUUUGACCAAGAGCAUUCAAGGAGCUGAAAUUCCCUGCUAGAACCUUUAGAACACUUAGUCCUCAGCCAAGAGGGUUCUUGUGACCUUGGACUAAGAGCAAACUUGCUUAACCAGAUAUGAAAAAAUAAAAUAAAAUAGUAUGAGCUAAAAAUGAAUUAAUUAAUUUUGUUAUAUUUU
ensembl:misc_RNA 7SK 7SK RNA